GUGCCCGUAGCUCAGUGGAUUAGAGCAUCAGCUUGCGGAGUUGAGGGUCGGAGGUUCGAAUCCUCCCGGGCACACCA
rnacentral:tRNA from 1 species